AGCGUGCCUAAUACAUGCAAGUCGAGCGAGCUUGCCUAGAUGAUUUUAGUGCUUGCACUAAAUGAAACUAGAUACAAGCGAGCGGCGGACGGGCGAGUAACACGUGGGUAACCUGCCCAAGAGACUGGGAUAACACCUGGAAACAGAUGCUAAUACCGGAUAACAACACUAGACGCAUGUCUAGAGUUUGAAAGAUGGUUCUGCUAUCACUCUUGGAUGGACCUGCGGUGCAUUAGCUAGUUGGUAAGGUAACGGCUUACCAAGGCAAUGAUGCAUAGCCGAGUUGAGAGACUGAUCGGCCACAUUGGGACUGAGACACGGCCCAAACUCCUACGGGAGGCAGCAGUAGGGAAUCUUCCACAAUGGACGAAAGUCUGAUGGAGCAACGCCGCGUGAGUGAAGAAGGGUUUCGGCUCGUAAAGCUCUGUUGGUAGUGAAGAAAGAUAGAGGUAGUAACUGGCCUUUAUUUGACGGUAAUUACUUAGAAAGUCACGGCUAACUACGUGCCAGCAGCCGCGGUAAUACGUAGGUGGCAAGCGUUGUCCGGAUUUAUUGGGCGUAAAGCGAGUGCAGGCGGUUCAAUAAGUCUGAUGUGAAAGCCUUCGGCUCAACCGGAGAAUUGCAUCAGAAACUGUUGAACUUGAGUGCAGAAGAGGAGAGUGGAACUCCAUGUGUAGCGGUGGAAUGCGUAGAUAUAUGGAAGAACACCAGUGGCGAAGGCGGCUCUCUGGUCUGCAACUGACGCUGAGGCUCGAAAGCAUGGGUAGCGAACAGGAUUAGAUACCCUGGUAGUCCAUGCCGUAAACGAUGAGUGAUAAGUGUUGGGAGGUUUCCUCCUUUUCAGUC
rnacentral:rRNA from 1 species